rnacentral:rRNA from 1 species
GACGUAGGGCGCGAGCGUUGUCCGGAUUUAUUGGGCGUAAAGAGCUCGUAGGCGGCUUGUCGCGUCGUUCGUGAAAACCUGCAGCUCAACUGCAGGCUUGCGGUCGAUACGGGCAGGCUAGAGUUCGGUAGGGGAGACUGGAAUUCCUGGUGUAGCGGCGAAAUGCGCAGAUAUCAGGAGGAACACCGGUGGCGAAGGCGGGUCUCUGGGCCGAUACUGACGCUGAGGAGCGAAAGCGUGGGGAGCGAACAGG